AAAAUGACUUAUAUUGUUACCAGCAUGCAAGUAAAAGGUUGCAACUGUCUUAUCUUUGUUUACCUGUAGAACACAUAUCCUGAAUGUCAAUACUUAAGAUUUUUUCAAUAUGAUGAACUUGACAUUAAAUUUCAUAUCAUUUUUGAGUAACCAGAAUAAAACUUUAGUAAUUAGCAAGCUGCAAUAACCAAAAUAGGAUUACUAGGAAGAAAUGAAAGGAUUUUACUCUUUAAAGUAAUAAGGACAAGUGUACUGAAGGAAUUUGGAAUAAAAAAAAUACCAAAAAAAAUUUGUCUUUGGCAGCUCCCCCUUUUUUAAGCCUGAUGCUUACUAUUGUUUGUGACACAAA
rnacentral:lncRNA from 1 species